rnacentral:tRNA from 1 species
GGGGGUGUAGCUGAGUGGUAGGGUGUGUACUUAGCACCCACAAGGUCCUGGGUUCAAUCCCCAGUGCCUCCA